UACGAAGGGGGCUAGCGUUGCUCGGAAUCACUGGGCGUAAAGCGCGCGCAGGCGGUCCUUUAAGUCUGAUGUGAAAGCCCACGGCUCAACCGUGGAGGGUCAUUGGAAACUGGGGGACUUGAGUACAGAAGAGGAAAGCGGAAUUCCACGUGUAGCGGUGAAAUGCGUAGAGAUGUGGAGGAACACCAGUGGCGAAGGCGGCUUUCUGGUCUGUAACUGACGCUGAGGCGCGAAAGCGUGGGGAGCAAACAGG
rnacentral:rRNA from 1 species